CCUCUCCGAGCCCCACCCCCCCAACAGACACACUCCUUCCUCACUUUUCUACCAGGCUGCCUAACGACAGUGAGACAGAGAGAAGAAAGCCCGAUCCUGUUUGUCCCUAGUGCCUGAGGACACACUAAGAACAUCUCCGAGCUACCCCCACACCGCGGCCAAGCCCCGAUCCUGCGACACCCAGAGCCACCCAGCCGCCCGGCUGCCCCCAACUUCUCACCCUGGGAGCAAACCCCCAGUGGGCUCAGAAACGCCCUUCCCCCAGAACAGAGCUACAGCAACAAGACAAGAGAAAGAAGUUAAAGAUACAAGCACUGGCAAAGAAGAGACCAAAUUAUUCCUCUGUGAAGAUGUCACAAUGGCUUACUUAGAAAACCCCAGAGAAUCAGUGAAGAAGCUAAUUAAGAUGAUCAAUUCAAUUAUAGUUUUUGAGAUUGUCGUUUUUCAGUUGUGUCCAACUCUCUGUAACCCCCUUUUGGGGGUUUUCUUGGCAAA